rnacentral:rRNA from 1 species
UGGGGAAUAUUGGACAAUGGGGGGUACCCUGAUCCAGCCAUGCCGCGUGUGUGAAGAAGGCCUUAUGGUUGUAAAGCACUUUAAGCGAGGAGGAGGGUACUGGUAUUAAUACUACCAGGUACUGGACGUUACUCGCAGAAUAAGCACCGGCUAACUCUGUGCCAGCAGCCGCGGUAAUACAGAGGGUGCGAGCGUUAAUCGGAUUUACUGGGCGUAAAGCGUGCGUAGGCGGCUAAUUGAGUCGGAUGUGAAAUCCCCGAGCUUAACUUGGGAAUUGCAUUCGAGACUGGUUAGCUAGAGUGUGGGAGAGGAUGGUAGAAUUCCAGGUGUAGCGGUGAAAUGCGUAGAGAUCUGGAGGAAUACCGAUGGCGAAGGCAGCCAUCUGGCCUAACACUGACGCUGAGGUACGAAAGCAUGGGGAGCAAACAGG